GUGUCAGCAGCCGCGGUAAUACGUAGGGGGCAAGCGUUGUCCGGAAUCAUUGGGCGUAAAGGGCGCGUAGGCGGUCAUUUAAGUCAGUGGUGAAAACCCAGGGCUCAACCCUGGGAAUGCCAUUGAAACUGGGUGACUUGAGUGCAGGAGAGGUAAGUGGAAUUCCCAGUGUAGCGGUGAAAUGCGUAGAAAUUGGGGGGAACACCAGUGGCGAAGGCGACUUACUGGACUGUGUCUGACGCUGAGGCGCGAAAGCUAGGGGAGAGAACAGGAUGAGAUACGGUGGGAUUCCUAGCUUGAAACGAUGUGUACUAGGUGUGGGGGGUAUCGACCCCUUCCGUGCCGGAGUUAACGCAAUAAGUA
rnacentral:rRNA from 1 species